UACGGAGGGGGCUAGCGUUGUUCGGAACUACUGGGCGUAAAGCGCACGUAGGCGGCUUUGUAAGUUAGAGGUGAAAGCCCGGGGCUCAACUCCGGAAUUGCCUUUAAGACUGCAUCGCUAGAAUUGUGGAGAGGUAAGUGGAAUUCCGAGUGUAGAGGUGAAAUCGUAGAUAUUCGGAAGAACACCAGUGGCGAAGGCGACUUACUGGACACAUAUUGACGCUGAGGUGCGAAAGCGUGGGGAGCAAACAGG
rnacentral:rRNA from 1 species